rnacentral:rRNA from 1 species
AUACGUAGGGGGCGAGCGUUGUCCGGAAUGAUUGGGCGUAAAGGGCGCGUAGGCGGCCCGGUAAGUCUGGAGUGAAAGUCCUGUUUUUAAGAUGGGAAUUGCUUUGGAUACUGUCGGGCUUGAGUGCAGGAGAGGUAAGUGGAAUUCCCAGUGUAGCGGUGAAAUGCGUAGAGAUUGGGAGGAACACCAGUGGCGAAGGCGACUUACUGGACUGUAACUGACGCUGAGGCGCGAAAGUGUGGGGAGCAAACAGGAUUAGAUACCCUGGUAGUCCACACUGUAAACGAUGAAUGCUAGGUGUAGGGGGUAUCGACCCCUUCUGUGCCGCAGUCAACACAAUAAGCAUUCCGCCUGGGGAGUACGACCGCAAGGUUGAAACUCAAAGGAAUUGACGGGG